rnacentral:misc_RNA from 1 species
GAUGAAGAACGCAGCGAAAUGCGAUAAGUAAUGUGAAUUGCAGAAUUCAGUGAAUCAUCGAAUCUUUGAACGCACAUUGCGCCCCUUGGUAUUCCGAGGUGCAUGCCUGUUCGAGCGUCAUUAUAACCCCUCAAGCUCAGCUUGGUGUUGGGGCCUGCUGCACUGGCAGCCCUUAAAAUCAGUGGCGGCGCCAUCUGGCUCUAAGCGUAGUAAUUCUUCUCGCUAUGGAGUCCUGGUGGAUGCUUGCCAUCAACCCCCAAUUUUUCUAUGGUUGACCUCGGAUCAGGUAGGGAUACCCGCUGAACUUAAGCAUAUCAAUAAGCGGAGGA